rnacentral:rRNA from 1 species
UACAGAGGGUGCAAGCGUUGUCCGGAUUUACUGGGCGUAAAGGAUGCGUAGGCGGACAUUUAAGUCAGAUGUGAAAUACCCGAGCUUAACUUGGGUGCUGCAUUUGAAACUGGGUGUCUAGAGUGCAGGAGAGGUAAGUGGAAUUCCUAGUGUAGCGGUGAAAUGCGUAGAGAUUAGGAAGAACACCAGUGGCGAAGGCGACUACUGGACUGUAACUGACGCUGAGGCAUGAAAGCGUGGGAGCAAACAG